GGCUCGCACCGCAGCGCAUCGGAGCCCUGCUUAGGCGCCCGCUUAGAGUGCAGGGAGCUGGGUCAGGCAGUCGCUGGGGCACCCGUGCCUGGAAAGUGCCGGAGCGCUCUGGAGAAGCCUGGACAGCCCCGCUCCCCAGCAGCCAGGUGCGAGGGGGCGGGAGCGAAAGUGAGAGUCCGGGCGUCCUCGAGCGCCUGGGCCACGGCGGCGGCCCUAGGAGCAGAGGUAGAGCAACCCCCUUACGCUAAAGAUGAAAGGCUGGGGCUGUCUGGCCCUGCUUCUGGGGGCCCCGCUGGGAACUGCCUGGGCCCGGAGGAGCCAGCAUCUACACUGUGGAGCUUGCAGAGCUCUGGUGGAUGAACUAGAGUGGGAAAUAGCCCGGGUGGAUCCCAAGAAGACCAUUCAGAUGGGCUCCUUCCGAAUUAAUCCGGAUGGCAGCCAGUCAGUGGUGGAGGUGCCUUAUGCUCGCUCAGAGGCCCACCUUACAGAGCUGCUAGAGGAGGUAUGUGACCGGAUGAAAGAGUAUGGGGAACAGAUUGACCCUUCCACCCACUGCAAGAACUACGUACGUGUAGUGGGCCGGAGUGGAGAAUCCAGUGAACUGGACCUACAGGGCAUCCGGAUUGAUAUAGACAUCAGUGGUACUCUCAAGUUUGUGUGUAAGAGCAUUGUGAAGGAAUAUGAGGACGAACUCAUUGAAUUCUUUUCACGAGAGGCUGACAAUGUUAAAGACAAACUUUGUAGUAAGCGAACAGAUCUAUGUGACCAUGCCCUGCAAAUAUAGCAUGAUGAGCUAUGA